GCGAGUCAUUGUAGCAUACAAGGCGGACGGCUCAGUAACACGUAGUCAACCUAACUCGUGGACGUGGAUAUCCUCGGGAAACUGAGAAUAAACCACGAUAGAUCAUAGUGCCUGGAAUGGCUUAUGGUCCAAACAGUUUACUGCCAUGGGAUGGGACUGCGGCCUAUCAGCUUGUUGGUGAGGUAAUGGCCCACCAAGGCGAUUACAGGUACGGGCUCUGAGAGGAGAAGCCCGGAGAUGGGUACUGAGACACGGACCCAGGCCCUAUGGGGCGCAGCAGGCGAGAAACCUUAGCAAUGUGCGAAAGCACGACUGGGUCAGUCCGAGUGAUUCCUGAUAAAGGAGUCUUUUGCUUGUCCUAAAAGCACAGGUGAAUAAGGGGUGGGCAAGUCUGGUGUCAGCCGCCGCGGUAAUACCAGCACCUCGAGUGGUCAGGACGUUUAUUGGGCCUAAAGCAUCCGUAGCCGGCGCUGCAAGCCUUCGGUUAAAUCCACCUGCUCAACAGAUGGGCUGCUGGAGAUACUACAGCGCUAGGGAGUGGGAGAGGCAGACGGUAUUCAGUGGGUAGGGGUAAAAUCCUCUGAUCCAUUGAGGACCACCAGUGGCGAAGGCGGUCUGCCAGAACACGUUCGACGGUGAGGGAUGAAAGCUGGGGGAGCAAACCGGAUUAGAUACCCGGGUAGUCCCAGCUGUA
rnacentral:rRNA from 1 species